GAUGAACGCUAGCGGCAGGCCUAACACAUGCAAGUCGAGGGGUAUCCCGCUUUCGGGCGGGAGAGACCGGCGCACGGGUGCGUAUCGCGUAUGGAAUCUACCUUAUACAGGGGUAUAGCCCGGAGAAAUCCGGAUUAAUCCCCCAUGGUAUUGAUUUACGGCAUCGUAGAUCAAUUAAAGCAUUAGCGGUAUAAGAUGAUCAUGCGUCUUAUUAGCUAGUUGGUAUGGUAACGGCAUACCAAGGCAACGAUAAGUAGGGGUCCUGAGAGGGAGCUCCCCCA
rnacentral:rRNA from 1 species